rnacentral:lncRNA from 7 species
CAAAGAACAAUUCCCCCUGCAGGCUCAUCAGUUACACCAUUGCACCUCCUGGUGCAGGGCCAGGCAAGAUCAGCUCUCAAGAAGAGCUAACAUCAUGCCACAUCCCAUUCCCCAUCCCCUCAACAGAGAAACAAAGCUUCUGCCUGCCCACAAGAGGAGGAGGAGGAAAGGCAUGACAGAUCUUUAGGAAUAAAGCUGUCUGGUCAGUUGCUGAUGCUUCGCCACCAUGUGUUUGGAGUUAGGCUGUUUGGGACCCCAAACAGAGGCCUCUGCAGGCAAGACGACAAGAAACAGACUACAGGUACAGCAUCUUGUCUCACUGACACCAAUAAAUGCUAAGCACAGGUGCAACCAACUGUACAACUAAAUACAUUCCUCAACAGUGACGCUCUCUUGACCAGAGCAUUGCAGGGAAGGGUCUGGGUGCUGCCAGAAACAACAGACAUGGUUACCUUUCAUUUGAUGGCUCUGAGUGACAACAGAAACUUCUCACUGCCAAGUGAUGUGAGCCAAGCUGUGCAGGCAUUCUGGAGUACAGGUGGGAGCAGCCCCAGGGAUGAACUUCCACAAGCACAUAGUGCCUUUUCGUAAUGCACUUGGCCAUAAAUCGAUGCUCCAGUUGACAGCCAGCCUAUGUUUCCUUUCUUUCCCAUGUUUGGGUCAAUACGCCUUCUUUUCCUACCUUAAAUAAUUUGUUGUACAAAUUUGUAUACAAAUACAACGCAUGCCACUUUUGUUAUCCUUCUUCUUGAUGGCACAGGAAUUAGCCUUUCCUCUUACAACAUGAAUCACACUCUCUAAUCUCAUAUCGUAUUUGUUGCACAACUCUGACCUCCUCCAAUGUAUUUAUUUCUGUAACUCAAUACGAAACCUUCACCUUGCACUGACACAACAAUCAGGUUGCAUAUUCUUCUACUUAAAAGCGAGGAAAUGCAGAAACUGAGGUUAAAAGGAGGAGAGAACUGUGAUAUCACAUAUGCAUGUUGUGGCACCCACUCAGACCCUACAGUCUUCAACUGAAGAGUGCUCCUUUAGGAGAUCACUGUGUUUGAUGUGCAUAAGGACUUCAGAAGUGAUGAUGCAUUCCACUGCCCAAACAAGUCAAGGCAAUACGGUGUACUGAAGCCCGCUGCCUGCUUUUACUCCUGCACCAAAAAUAAUCCAUGACAAAUCCACAAUGAUUUAUUGCUAGAUGAUAUUAGAGGUCU